AUCUUUCCCCAUGCACAAAAUUAGACUCAAAAUGGACCAAAGACUUUAAGAACCUACCUUCCACAAUGGAGAUAAAGGACCAAGAACACUCAUCUGAGAAAUCCUUUGUCUUCUCUGCUGGAAGCACCCCUAGACACAGCCCGAUGGGAAAAUGCUGACCAAGAAGACCACAGCCCCCCUCCCCUACCUAAAACCCCAAAUAAAAACCUCUACCCAUUUCUUAACGGGGCACAAGCAACUUUUGGGGCACUGGCCCUCUGCUUUGCUCCCUCUGCCUGGCAAAGUAAAG
rnacentral:lncRNA from 1 species